GGAGCAACAUUUACUCGUGAAGUGGGUCAGGGGAGGAAUCCAGCAGCCCUAAGCGAUGCUAAAUGUGUGCUCUUUUU
rnacentral:SRP_RNA from 27 species